rnacentral:rRNA from 1 species
AUUGAACGCUGGCGGAAUGCUUUACACAUGCAAGUCGAACGGCAGCACGGACUUCGGUCUGGUGGCGAGUGGCGAACGGGUGAGUAAUGUAUCGGAACGUGCCCAGUCGUGGGGGAUAACGUAGUGAAAAUUACGCUAAUAACGCAUACGAUCUAUGGAUGAAAGCGGGGGAUCGCAAGACCUCGCGCGAUUGGAGCGGCCGAUAUCAGAUUAGGUAGUUGGUGGGGUAAAGGCCCACCAAGCCAACGAUCUGUAGCUGGUCUGAGAGGACGACCAGCCACACUGGAACUGAGACACGGUCCAGACUCCUACGUGAGGCAGCAGUGGGGAAUUUUGGACAAUGGGCGAAAGCCUGAUCCAGCCAUUCCGCGUGCAGGAUGAAGGCCCUCGGGUUGUAAACUGCUUUUGUACAGAACGAAAAGGUUUCUACUAAUACUAGGAGCUCAUGACGGUACUGUAAGAAUAAGCACCGGCUAACUACGUGCCAGCAGCCGCGGUAA